ACUAGAAUAGAGCUUUUUCUUCAGCAUACCAACCCCUCAUUCCCCUCAAAUUUACUAGUACUUCGCUAUUUUCUCUAUAAAAAAAUUCAUCUUUUUCCUAACUCCACAACUCCACCGCCGAACCACCACUCCACUACUUCCGUACCGCCUCACUUGGUAUCUCACUGCACCGGCGGACUGCCGCAUCGCGCCGCUGCGCCCAUGCCCUCUUCUUCCCCGAUUUCAUGUAAUUGAAUUAAGUUUCUAAUAAUGUGCAGCGACGAGCUUCUAAUGAGCAGCUAUACAUGAGCAAUACAACAGCAAUAAGCAAGUAGAAUAGCUGUGCACAAAUAGCCCAACAUCAGCAGCAAUCGAGAAGUACAGCAGCUAUACGAAGCACCUACCUAGCUGCUGUUGUUUGAGCUUUGUUGCUGCUCACAAGUGCACGAACAGCAGCCUCGUGGGCUCAUUUCCACAAGCCUUGAAGUGCCUUGUGAUAGCAGCCACAACCUAGCCACAGCACACGAGCACCAUGGCAGCUUAGCCACUGCAGAUCAGCACGCAAACAGCUUAGCAACAGCAGCAUGGCACGCAACUAAUCAGCCACUGCAGCAGCCUUGUGCUCUCCUUUAAGCCAUCACUGCAGCAACCUUAGUGCUCACUUGAGAGCCUUAUCGCAGCUAUAUAACAGCAGCCCUACAGCAACACAAGCAUGGCAAUAGCCCAGGCAGAACACGCAGCACAGACCCAACACGGCUGCGGGGCUGAUGCUAUAAAAAUGUAAAUCGCAGCAUUGUAAUCAUAUUUAGUUUUACGUAAUUAGUUUCUAGUUUUCAUAUUUUAGGCUUAGCUUAGAAUUCUAGAGAGAGAAUUAGUUUAGGGCUUAGAUUAGAGGUUAGGAUUAAGAUUCAUUGCUUCAAAUUCUUGAAUCUUAGUUGAAUUUUAUCAUCAAAUUUCAGUUUUCUUUUCUCUUUCUUUUGAGCUUUGUUCUUCAUUUUGUUCUUCAAAGUUUGAUGCAAAUUCUUCAAUUCAAGGUAAAAUUCUACUUUUCUUUUUGAUUUGUUC